AAAAAAAGAGUUUUUUUCUUUGUCACUAACAACUUCACAUGUAUCUCUUGCCUGAUGCCCCGAUCCCCUUUCUCCUUUCCUUGGUCUCUCCGUUCACUCCAAAAUUAUUAACACUAAAUCAGGCCCGGCUUGUACCGCUGGCAUCCCCGCAGCUCGACUCGCUGGUGCGGCAACAUGGUGACCAUCUUUGACGGCUGGUUUGGCUCGUACGCCUCCUCUGUGUCCUUGGUUUGUAAGCGGCGAUGGAUCAUGGAUGUAUAGCAUGGCCCGAGUAGCAGCUCCAAUGGAGGAGGCGAGAUCGUUGAUCUGCACGGUGUCGUUGCUGUCAGCAUCCUUGUAGGGGAUCCUUCGUCGUGGAUCUCGACUCGCACAGCUAGCGUGGAUUCAGCUUUUGUAUGAGGUAUUUGGUCCAUUGUCUUCCUCAAUCGUGCAAGCCAGACUUCGUCGUUGUUCCCACUCGAGGAAUCCCGACAUCUCGUCGUCUUCCUCCACAGCGGCAACAUGCUUCGACCUACAGUAACAUGGUCUUAACUCUAAAAGCUGCUGACCUGAAGACAUCAUUUAACCAAGCUGUGUUGAUCUAUCCGUUUGGUGCCACCACUACACUGGGAAAGAUCACCUGGCCAUGGGCAGCAUUACUUUCAAUUUUAAAUUGUAUUGCUUAAGUUGCUUCCCUUGCCCACUUUAUAUAAAAUUGGAACAAAAUGCAGUCACAUUCUGUUUUCGGCUAGUGAGCGCACACUUGUACAUGUAAACUAAUACAUUAAGAAUUCAUCUAUCCAAUUCCUGGUAUAUACAUCCUGUAACAAAGCUGAAUUAGUAAUCAACUGAUACAAAGGCAGCAAGAUUAACUUGGGGGCAUGCACGCUAUGGAUUUCAAAGGCUGAUUAACUUGGGGGCAUGCACACUGGAUUUCAGAGGCUUAUAUCAAGCCUUCCCUGUUUCUUUAUUUGUCACAGGUGUUGGCAAUGUGGUUCAGAGGCUUAUAUCAAGCCUUCUCUCUUUCUUUAUUUGUCACAGGUGUUGGCAAUGUGGUUCAGAGGCUUAUAUCAAGCCUUCUCUCUUUCUUUAUUUAUCAUAGGUGCUAGCCAUGCAUGUACUGAUCAAGAGAUGCUCCUUAAAGUUAGCUUUGCUAAGCUACGUGUGCGGCGGCAUCAUAGACCAAGCUAGCCCUAACAGGUCCAUGACUCCAUGUACGUGGUGUUUCAGGCUAGUCGUGCAUGUACAAAUCCAAACAAAUCCAACAUGUACAUAUCAAGCCACCUAAAGAAGCUAGCUUUGCCAAGCUACGCUCGCGGUGGCUAUCUACAACCAAUGUGAAAUUUAUCUUCAAUCUAAAUAAUUUUCUAUGAAACAGAGUUCCUCAAUCAGUCUUGGUACAUCUUGAUUAAAGCAAUGGGGAUAGUGAAUAUCAACUAUUCUACACCCUAGGGUUUGGGAAGGGGCGGCAUACCUUAAGAGGAUAACUGGAAGAAUGGAGUCGGUGGAGUACCAGGUCAUCUUCUUCGGUCUCUGGUGAUAGCCGAUGUCGCCGGCGCUCGAGGCCUCGGUGAUAAUCGUGGCUGCCGCCAGGUCACCUCCCUUUUUUCACUUUUGAUGCUUGCCUCUUUUUCACGUAUAUGAGGAUGCAACGGAUCGAGAGGUUUUCUUUUGAUGUGCAUGAGCGAAGGGAUUUGAGAGGGUUUUUUCACGUGGGCAUUGGUGGGUAAUUUUAAACCUUUUCAAUCCAUUGGUGGGUAAUUUUAAAUCUUUUCAAUCCAUUGGUUGUGCUCGCGUAAUGACUUAAAUUGAUGGUCCGAUGUUUCUAAUUAUUAUGGGUUUUUCUAGCAUAAUUCUCUUUUUCCUGGUUACCCCGUAAAGCACUUUUUAUAUAUAAAUAGAUGCUUGCAGAUUCCAGCUUAGUCCAAUGCACGUGCACUAUUAUUAUUAUCGACACCGUUUGGUCGUGAGAGUGAAAGGUAAUAAUGAUGAUAUAUGAUGGACUGAUUGAGAUGAGAGAAGGUGGUAUGAACUUGACCUAUCUUGUUUUUGUAAAUAUGAUUAGUCCACUAUUCCUGAUUCGUCCUAUUAUGGAUGAAACAUGUUUGCAAUGACAACUAGAGAUUAUAGUUCUCAUGCCAUGCUUAAUUAGCUAGCAGUUUAUAAUGGUUUACCUUGCAUGCCAACAUGCUAUUAAAACGGUUGUGAUGUGGUAUGAUAGGGUGGUAUCCUCCUU